UACGUGAGGGGCGAACGUUGUUCGGUGUCACUGGGCUUAAAGGGCGCGUAGGUGGCUGCGUAAGUAAGGUGUGAAAGCCCUCGGCUUACCCGGGGAAUUGCGCCUUAUACUGCGUGGCUUGAGGAUUUCAGGGGAAAGGGGAACUCCGAGUGUAGCGGUGAAAUGCGUUGAUAUUAUGGGGAACACCAAAAGCGAAGGCAACAGACUGGGGCACUCCUGACACUGAAACAUGAAAGCGUGGGUAGCGAAUGGG
rnacentral:rRNA from 1 species